GAUCAUGGCUCAGGAUGAACGCUAGCUACAGGCUUAACACAUGCAAGUCGAGGGGCAGCAUGGUCUUAGCUUGCUAAGGCUGAUGGCGACCGGCGCACGGGUGAGUAACACGUAUCCAACCUGCCGUCUACUCUUGGCCAGCCUUCUGAAAGGAAGAUUAAUCCAGGAUGGGAUCAUGAGUUCACAUGUCCGCAUGAUUAAAGGUAUUUUCCGGUAGACGAUGUGG
rnacentral:rRNA from 1 species